GAGGAAAAUUGAAAAACGGAGUGGCACCCCCUGUUGUGGAGUACGGUACCUCUCAUGUGCAGCCGUGGCUGAUUCACAGAGAGUGGCAGACAUGGAGGCUCCUUAGAGAUUACGUUAGAUUGUUCCUUUUGGCACGGGCGAUUCAAAUUGAGAAGCAGCAGUGGGACCUCCUGUAUCAACUUUUCUUCGCAAUAAAGUCGUACAUUGGCACACAGAAAAUGAUGACAGACUUAUAGACAAAAAUAAUCGAUUGGUCUAAUGCCACGGACACGGCACUCAUGGCUUUUGUACUAUAGGUGACAUCUGCCGGAAAGGCGUUCACGCGGCGUGACACCCGAGAAAGCAGCCUCUCCUUUUUGAUGAACGUUCGUCGCGGAAGGAGAUAUAUCGGAACUCCUUUAUGGAACUAAAAAGGUGCCCACUACACAUUCGGUGUUCAUGCUGCUGUACGAAUGUGUUCCUGGAACUCGCUCGAUUGCGAAUGUCGCAAUUGUCGAAUACUUACGUUACAGGUGGCAACGCGCCGCUGCCAACGAAUGACGUCAUAUGCCAACGUCGUUUGAUACCGGUGACAUUAAAGUAUGCUCGAGUGACUA